rnacentral:rRNA from 1 species
UACGUAGGUGGCGAGCGUUAUCCGGAAUGAUUGGGCGUAAAGCGAGCGCAGGCGGUUGCUUAGGUCUGAUGUGAAAGCCUUCGGCUUAACCGAAGAAGUGCAUCGGAAACCGGGCGACUUGAGUGCAGAAGAGGACAGUGGAACUCCAUGUGUAGCGGUGGAAUGCGUAGAUAUAUGGAAGAACACCAGUGGCGAAGGCGGCUGUCUGGUCUGCAACUGACGCUCAUGCACGAAAGCGUGGGUAUCGAACAGG